ACGGACCCUUCGGGGUUAGUGGCGGACGGGUGAGUAACACGUGGGAACGUGCCUUUAGGUUCGGAAUAGCUCCUGGAAACGGGUGGUAAUGCCGAAUGUGCCCUUCGGGGGAAAGAUUUAUCGCCUUUAGAGCGGCCCGCGUCUGAUUAGCUAGUUGGUGAGGUAACGGCUCACCAAGGCGACGAUCAGUAGCUGGUCUGAGAGGAUGACCAGCCACACUGGGACUGAGACACGGCCCAGACUCCUACGGGAGGCAGCAGUGGGGAAUCUUGCGCAAUGGGCGAAAGCCUGACGCAGCCAUGCCGCGUGAAUGAUGAAGGUCUUAGGAUUGUAAAAUUCUUUCACCGGGGACGAUAAUGACGGUACCCGGAGAAGAAGCCCCGGCUAACUUCGUGCCAGCAGCCGCGGUAAUACGAAGGGGGCUAGCGUUGCUCGGAAUUACUGGGCGUAAAGGGCGCGUAGGCGGAUCGUUAAGUCAGAGGUGAAAUCCCAGGGCUCAACCCUGGAACUGCCUUUGAUACUGGCGAUCUUGAGUAUGAGAGAGGUAUGUGGAACUCCGAGUGUAGAGGUGAAAUUCGUAGAUAUUCGGAAGAACACCAG
rnacentral:rRNA from 1 species